CCUACGGGUGGCAGCAGUGGGGAAUAUUGCGCAAUGGGCGAAAGCCUGACGCAGCGACGCCGCGUGCGGGAUGAAGGUCUUCGGAUCGUACACCUCUGUCAGCAGGGAAGAACGGUCACUUUCCUAAUCCGCAGUGAAUUGACGGUACCUGCACAGGAAGCACCGGCUAACUCCGUGCCAGCAGCCGCGGUAAUACGGAGGUGGCGAGCGUUAAUCGGAAUUAUUGGGCGUAAAGCGCUCGUAGGCGGUCUGUAAAGUCAGGGGUAAAAUCCCGGGGCUCAACGUGGAACUGCCUUUGAUACGGGCAAACUAGAGUGGGUGAGAGGAUAGUGGAAUUCCAGGUGUAGGAGUGAAAUGCGUAGAUAUCUGGAGGAACAUCAAGGGCGAAGGCGGCUAACUGGCACAUAACUGACGCUGAGGAGCGAAAGCGUGGGGAGCAAACAGGAUUAGAUACCCGAGUAGUC
rnacentral:rRNA from 1 species